CAUCCAGCGAACUUGGCAGAGAUGCCUUGGUGCCUUCGGGAACGCUGAGACAGGUGCUGCAUGGCUGUCGUCAGCUCGUGUUGUGAAAUGUUGGGUUAAGUCCCGNAACGAGCGCAACCCUUAUCCUUUGUUGCCAGCGAUUCGGUCGGGAACUCAAAGGAGACUGCCGGUGAUAAACCGGAGGAAGGCGGGGAUGACGUCAAGUCAUCAUGGCCCUUACGAGUAGGGCUACACACGUGCUACAAUGGCGCAUACAAAGAGAAGCGACCUCGCGAGAGCAAGCGGACCUCAUAAAGUGCGUCGUAGUCCGGAUCGGAGUCUGCAACUCGACUCCGUGAAGUCGGAAUCGCUAGUAAUCGUGGAUCAGAAUGCCACGGUGAAUACGUUCCCGGGCCUUGUACACACCGCCCGUCACACCAUGGGAGUGGGUUGCAAAAGAAGUAGGUAGCUUAACCUUCGGGAGGGCGCUUACCACUUUGUGAUUCAUGACUGGGGUGAAGUCGUAACAAGGUAGGCGUAGCGAG
rnacentral:rRNA from 1 species